AGUAACGCGUAGAUAAUCUACCCUCAUGUUUGGGAUAACCCUUCGAAAGGGGGACUAAUACCGGAUAUAUUCAUACCUGUCGGGGUAUGGAGGAAAGGUGGCCUCUAUUUAUAAGCUAUCGCAUGGGGAGGAGUCUGCGUACCAUUAGCUAGUUGGUGGGGUAAUGGCCUACCAAGGCAACGAUGGUUAGCGGGUCUGAGAGGAUGAUCCGUCACACUGGCACUGAAAUACGGGCCAG
rnacentral:rRNA from 1 species